GUGGGGAAUAUUGGACAAUGGGCGAAAGCCUGAUCCAGCCAUGCCGCGUGUGUGAAGAAGGUCUUCGGAUUGUAAAGCACUUUAAGUUGGGAGGAAGGGUAGUAACCUAAUACGUUGCUACUUUGACGUUACCGACAGAAUAAGCACCGGCUAACUUCGUGCCAGCAGCCGCGGUAAUACGAAGGGUGCAAGCGUUAAUCGGAAUUACUGGGCGUAAAGCGCGCGUAGGUGGUUCAGUAAGUUGGAAGUGAAAUCCCCGGGCUCAACCUGGGAACUGCUUUCAAAACUGCAUGACUAGAGUACGGUAGAGGGUAGUGGAAUUUCCUGUGUAGCGGUGAAAUGCGUAGAUAUAGGAAGGAACACCAGUGGCGAAGGCGACUACCUGGACUGAUACUGACACUGAGGUGCGAAAGCGUGGGGAGCAAACAGGAUUAGAUACCCGAGUAGUCC
rnacentral:rRNA from 1 species